rnacentral:rRNA from 1 species
UACGUAGGGUGCAAGCGUUAUCCGGAAUUAUUGGGCGUAAAGAGCUCGUAGGCGGUCUGUCGCGUCUGCUGUGAAAACCCGAGGCUCAACCUCGGGCCUGCAGUGGGUACGGGCAGACUAGAGUGCGGUAGGGGAGAAUGGAAUUCCUGGUGUAGCGGUGGAAUGCGCAGAUAUCAGGAGGAACACCGAUGGCGAAGGCAGUUCUCUGGGCCGUAACUGACGCUGAGGAGCGAAAGCGUGGGGAGCGAACAGG